AAACUGUGCUUAAGUGAAUCUGUCCUGAUUCAGAUCAAACUGAAGUGAAUUUGUUCUGAUUCACACCAAACUCUGUGAAGUGAAUCUGUCCUGAUUCAGAUCAAACUCUGUUUUGAAUUGAAUCUGUCCUGAUUCAGAUCAAACUCUGUGUUGAAGUGAAUUUUCUGUAAGUGAAUCAUGAUGAUUGUGAAUGUGUUUUUCAGUGAGGAAUGAAACUGCAGUGACUUCCAAACUCAGGUGAGUUUCAGCUGAUAAACAUGUGUCUGAUUCACUAAUAAAACACUGAUUCAGAUCUGAUUCAGACUCAAUCCAGUUUGAAUGUGAACAGGCCUUUGUUUUCUGUCAUAUUGUCUGAUAUUUGUGAUCAUUGUGUGUUUUAAAGAUGUUCUGGAUGAAGUGACUCCGUCUCUCCAGCUCUCAGAUCAGUUGUGGUGGCUGUUUGCUGUCUUCAUCAUCAUCUUCAUCAUCUUCAUCUGUUUCAUGCUGCGUAAAAGGAUCUUCAGACGGAAGCACGGUUCAUCUGUCAACGUGAGGAUGAUCCAAAACAGGGAUCUGGUGAAGGUCGGAUCUGAUGAUCCUGGUUCACUGCAGGAAUCUGAAACGAUUCAGAGUCCAGAUGUUGAUCAACAUCAUUAAAUCAUUUUAAUAUGCACUCGCGCCUUAUAUAAAUAAGCAGUACUGGCGAAUUUCAAUUGUCUCAUUAUUCUGUACAUUUUACAAAUAUUUGGGAUGCAAAAUAAAGCCACAAAUUUGCGAUAUAUGGCUCCAGCAGAUUUUAUUUUUUAGCGAUAUAAGAAAACUUUUGAGACAAUGCAUUUUUUUAGGGAUGACGUCAUCACGCACACCAUUUUAUCAUUAAAAGGCCAACUGGAUGGAAACAGCAUCA